AUUGAACGCUGGCGGCAGGCCUAACACAUGCAAGUCGAGCGGAGCGGCGGACGGGUGAGUAAUGCCUAGGAAUCUGCAUGGUAGUGGGGGAUAACGUCCGGAAACGGGCGCUAAUACCGCAUACUAUCAGAUGAGCCUAGGUCGGAUGAGCUAGUUGGUGGGGUAAAGGCAUACCAAGGCGACGAUCCGUAACUGGUCUUAGAGGAGGAACAGUCCCCCUGGAACUGGGACAAGGUCCAGACUCCUACGGGAGGCAGCAGUGGGGAAUAUUGGAUAAUGGGCGAAAGCCUGAUCCAGCCAUGCCUCGUGUGUGAAGAAGGUCUUCGGAUUGGAAAGCACUUUAAGUUGGGAGGCGUUACCAACAGAAUAAGCACCGGCUAACUUCGUGCCAGCCGCCGCGGUAAUUC
rnacentral:rRNA from 1 species